GUGAAAGACAAAAACAGGCUGUUGAAGAAUGUUUAUUAAACAGUUCAGUUUUGGCAAAUAUAUUACUACAAACACCAUGACCGCUGAACAUGGCAGACCAUUAACGUGUGCCAGGACAAGCAGCCACACAAUGCUGUAUGACUUCACUUAUGUGGCAAACAGUGGACCUGCUGGCCACUGCUACUGCUGGUGCCUCUGCUGUGUGGGGCAUACCGAGGCACCCCAAGGCUGGGACACAAGAGUCAGGAGGCCACUUUGUUAUAAAGAAAUAAAUCCUGUCUAUCUAGAGGGAAGAGUACCAAGCUGUGCCAAUAUUCCAGUCUGGCUUAUUUUUCAGACAAGGGAAGCAUUACUCACAUUGUAGCUCAUAUUUGCAUAUUUUUUUGUUAGUUGCACAAAUAUAUCUUAUCUAACAAAUGGUCAUUUAUCUAUCAUCUACACUUACUUGUGGUCAAUGAUGUUACCCUUUAAAAGUAUCAACUAGAAUCAUCUCAUCUAAGAUAUUUCCUCUAACAGCUUAAGUGACCAGCAUAUAUCUUUAUUGUUCCUUAAAUAAACUUUAAUCUUUUAUAUGUGAGAAUCUCACUGAUGAUAAGAUAGAGUUGGGAACACACGCUGCAGCUGUGUGUGGCCUCCGUGCAUCUUUGUUCCACUGGCACUUCAGUCUGUGGUGGGCGAGAACCCAUUACCCCGGGACACAGGGGAAGUGCAACAUCCAGGUUACCAGCAAGAAUACUGGCACUACUCAGUACUUUCCCCCUUCAACAUAGAAUAUAUUAGGAAAAAGCUAAAAUGAAGAGGAAAAAAAUCCUUGCAGCGGAGGAGUGAGUAGAUCACAAUUACACUGAGUGGCCUUAUUGUCACCGGACUAAAUUCCUUACAAAUUUAAGAAGCAGCCAAAACCCUCAACAGCAUGGAAGCCUGUCCACAACUGGCCUGUGCUGCAGCCAUCAGUGAAUCUUUGUUUGGCAUGAAGCCCUCAAGAAUCCCCCAGACUAUGCAUGACCCUAAAGGUACCACCCCACACCCUAUGUGGCUCCAAAGGCACCAUGGAGGCCCUACAUGGUUCUACAGGAACUCUGAAGGCCUGCCACUGGCUCAGCAGACCUUAACAUGGCAUACCCUUGUGAGUGUUGUGUUGGCUGGCGGAGGUUCAGUCACCGUCAACAUCCCUCCUCUAAACCACAACUGACUACUGACCAAAGUGAGCGAGCUUUUUUGUACCUGAUUCUUAUCAAUAAAUGUUACCAUCUACUGAUCACUACACUUGGUAAUACACCUAAGAACUACACUGGUACACAUAAAAGACAACUAUUAAAAAAAAGAAAAAAAAAAGUAAAGAGUAUGAAAGCAGCAAAAUGCUAACCCUAACACAACCUUGCCAGUCAUCUUCACACAGGCUCUGGCAUGGAGGCUUGAUGAGUGGAGGAGGGAUGUUAAUAUUCCCUCAUCAUGUGUCCCUCUCUUCUCUUUCCACUAUUGUCUAAUUUGACAUGAAUAAUCUUAGCCAAUGCAUCCCCAUGGAAACCAAGUAUCAAAAGACACAAUAACAACUCCAGUAUUAUGAUUCCUGAAGAUACAGUGAAGUUUAACAUCUACAAUUUUUUUUUAUGGCAUUUGUUAUAACUUGGCACUGAGAACAAUCAAAACUUAAGCUUGUUCUAUUAAGUCAGUCAUUAUGCAAGAAACCAAAAAAGCCAAGGGACUGACACAUAUUGAUAACUGCCCUUGUUAUAGUAGGAUAUCAAUGUAUUAUUAUUAUUUAGACCCCCGACAAGCCCGUUACACCCUGCAGUGAUUGUACAACAGCCACACAAAUCCACAGUAUCAAUGCAGAACCCAUUAGCUACUUUGCUUCACUACUGGUGGUGCAACAUUGCCUCAGUGGCCAUUCCUUUUUUACAAUUUUGGACACUUCCCAAAACAAUAUUAAGUGCAACAGUAAAGAGUGCAACAGCUUGCCAGGAGCCCUCAUGAUAUCACAGCACUCCUGGGAGAAGACAGUUAAUUUAUUUUCUUUGCCACUCUCAUUGAAAUCACUUUUAAAAGGCAACACUCUCUAAACACUCUUUGAACUAUUUCCCAAACUCAGUCCAACACAGUUGUCAAUUGAGCACAAUUCCUUCCAUAAGUUCUGCACAAAAACACACAAUAUAUACAAAUAACAGAGACAGUCAAGAACACAAUUAAAAGCUUCUUUGCAGGCUUGCUGAAGUUAGUAGCAUUUACAUCGUGUUACAGCAACUAAAUGAACAAAAAACUGUUAAGUCAGACAAGGCACAGGUUUACUUACAUCUAUGUUAUGUUAAUCCCUAGGGUGAGGAAACCAUUGUUAGCUUGAGAAAAUUAAGAACAUAUUAUUACCUUGUGGAAGCAUAAAUAUUUGAAAUACUGUCAUUAAAGUCAUAACUUCCGCUAUCCUCAAAACUCUCAAUUUAUUACAGUGUGACUACUGAGAAAGUGAUUGCCAAAGCCCUGCCUCAUUUACCUGUCAAACUUUGCCGCACGCCAACAAGACCACUUAUGAGUCCACAAAGCCCUUUGUAAUUGAUCUUCAUGCAUGGUACAACACAGGCUGGAGCUUACAAAGUUUUAUCAGUAAUUGCACUUUAAGAGAGUUCAGGCAAGGUAUGUUUGCCAUUUUGUAUGCAUUACUCCAAUUAAUACUCAUAUCAGGAACAAAGCUGCUCUGGAAAAUGAAUGUAAGUAUAAAAAUGCUCUACUGUCAAAUCUAAAAAAAAUUAAAAUCUUUGUUUUGACAAUUCUUUUAUUAUAACCUAAGCUCAAGUUCCUUUCUAUGCCUCAGUUCAUUUUUCCAACUUGGUCAUUUUCCUGAUAUGAGCACUAAUUGAACUGCUGCGUACAGAUUGGUGAACACACUCCAACCCCAGCAUGCAUCACGUUAGUGGCUGAACACACUCACUACACACUUCAUCCCGUCAGAUGUUCUGAAAUCAACAAUGAAGGUUACCACACACAUACGGAUGGCUGUGUAGCAGCUACAAGAUCUAUCUUAGAACAGCUGCAAAACAUACUUUAGACCCAGAGGUAAUAUCAGAAACCAGAUAGCAGAAAAAAUACUGAUGAUGAAGACUAGAAACCAUAGCUGCAAGGAGUAGGAGGGAGAGGUGAGACACAAGAAUAGAAGCAGGAGAAGGAGGAAGGGGAGGGGGAAAGGGGAUAGAGGUAAAUGAAGAGGAGGUGAAGGAAAAAUAAAAGAAGGAAGAGAGUAAUGAAGGUUGGGUGACAAACAAAGCUCAAUAGAAGCAGGAGAAGGAGGAAGAGGAGGGGGAAAGGGGACAGAGGUAAAUGAAGAGGAGGUGAAGGAAAAAUAAAAGAAGGAAGAGAGUAAUGAAGGUCAGGUGACAAACAAAGCUCAAUAGAAGCAGGAGAAGGAGGAAGAGGAGGGGGAAAGGGGACAGAGGUAAAUGAAGAGGAGGUGAAGGAAAAAUAAAAGAAGGAAGAGAGUAAUGAAGGUCGGGUGACAAACAAAGCUCAUGAAAAAUGCAAACGUCUAAUAUGGAUAAUACAACACAUAAUAGUUUCACAUUUCACCCACUUCCCUGUGGACACAUCAGAUCUCUGAGCGCCGUCACACCCUCAGUGCUGAACGGACAUUUAAAGCCACAGCAAAAGAAAAAUAUCAUCAUCAGUACAUCUAUACUAAAGUCUUUGUUCUCUAUGUCUGAGAACAACUUAUUUCAAGUUGACCAAACUGCUAAUGGAAUAUUGAUAACAGAGCAUUAUAUCUUUAGGGUGAAGGCAAUGUACUUCACACUCUACUUCUUACGUAACAGUUGAAGAGGAAAAAAUGCAUUCACAGCCAUCGAAGAAUUUAUAAUUUUCUUUGUAACAUUACCUUAAACAAAUAUUGCCUUUGAACUAAACAAAACUUUCAAGACGAGUGAAGGAACUACAAACCCUCGGACUUAUGCUCUUAACUGUUAAGUUUCCAGAACCCAACACUCUACAGGCAGGGGCAUCCCUUGGGGGAGGGAGGGUGGCAGCAACCCCCCUCCCUUAGCAGGCUUCCCCAGCUGCAUGCAUGCUGUGUCCAUCACCCAUUAAGUCCUAGCAAUGCUCCUGCAUGCAAUGUUUUGUAAUCUUUUAGAGAGGUCUGUCAUAAACAGGGAACAGUUUUACCAAUAGAGAGACUAAUUAUCUGAACAAUUCUCACUGAAACUCCACAAACAAGUCUUCACCAUGUGUACGUAAGUGUCAACACUUCUUCAUACAAAAGUUACUUUCCUGAACACAUCCAUGGUAUAAAACAAUAUAUAUAUGUACAUAUAUAUUCUCCAAAGGCAAUACUGAUAACUUCAUUAUAUACAGUUUGUUUUAAAUUUCCCAGCUUGAAGCUAUACUUAGUGAUCCCCUGUGAGGCACUAGAUUCUUCUUUCCGUCAGUCAAUGUCUAUCUGUCUCUCUCUCUAUAUAUAUAUAUAUAAACCUUAAUUGUCAAGUAAACAACUGUCUCAAACUAUAGCAGGAUCUCACCAAUGGCAUCUUACUAGCGCCUGAAAAAUGGCAGUAUUAGCAAAGAGGUGAGGUACACAAAGAAAGGGUUGGUUGGUGCCUCCAACCCAGGACUUUAAUUCACACAUUUUUUCCAUUUGAAACCCUUCUGUCAUUACUUUUUUUUUAGGUGAAGUGAUAAAAAUCCUAAGUCAUGGUGGGUGUUACAGUACGCAAAA